rnacentral:sRNA from 1 species
UUGACAGCCCUGAAGAAUGGAAUCCUCAGUUUAUGCCCAUAAUGGCUAGAGAACAGGCAGCAGCAAUCCAAGCUUCUCCACACCACCCUAUCAAUGUACCUCAACCCUAACCUGGAAGCAGCUUCCCUAGGGCUGAAAGGGUCCAUUCAGUACUUACCCUCCAGACUGAGGCUGCA